rnacentral:hammerhead_ribozyme from 1 species
AUACUGAUGAAGAGUCCCAAACUAGUAGGACGGAACGGCUGUCCAGUAU